rnacentral:rRNA from 1 species
GAGUUUGAUCAUGGCUCAGAUUGAACGCUGGCGGCAGGCCUAACACAUGCAAGUCGAGCGGAUGACGGGAGCUUGCUCCUUGAUUCAGCGGCGGACGGGUGAGUAAUGCCUAGGAAUCUGCCUGGUAGUGGGGGACAACGUUUCGAAAGGAACGCUAAUACCGCAUACGUCCUACGGGAGAAAGCAGGGGACCUUCGGGCCUUGCGCUAUCAGAUGAGCCUAGGUCGGAUUAGCUAGGUUGGGUGGGGUAAGUGGCUCACCAAGGCGACGAUCCGUAACUGGUCUGAGAGGAUGAUCAGUCACACUGGAACUGAGACACGGUCCAGACUCCUACGGGAGGCAGCAGUGGGGAAUAUUGGACAAGUGGGCGAAAGCCUGAUCCAGCCAUGCCGCGUGUGUGAAGAAGGUCUUCGGAUUGUAAAGCACUUU